rnacentral:lncRNA from 1 species
UAAGAGACAGGCCUAAAGCUUUAAUUAUUAAUCUUAUUUAGUACUAUUUUCAACUAUUAUUUUUAGCACGGUAUUUUCUUGAGAGUAACGGUUUGCAUUUGGCUAUGAUUUUAUUCAUCCCUUCCAGUUACACCUGAAAUGUCAUCUAAAUAUCACCUUGACAUGGGAAAGAAAUCAGUGUACUUCUCUGCUCCUGAAUUAGUUUUAUCCUGCCAUCCAAAACCACGUUGUAAAGAGUUUCCUUAUUUUUUUUUUCUUGAAUUGUUUGCUGGCAACUUAAACUUCAUGUGACCAAAGUUAGCCAUCCUUUGUCCCUGACUCCCUCACUUCUGUCACUAGUAAAGGCACUGUGUUAUUGAUACUGCUCUUUAUAACAAGUCAAGCACCUCUGGCACCUUCCUGCCUUUCGUUGUUCAUUCCUUUGCUCAUAACACUGGUCACCACUCUUACUCUGCUCCUGCUACUACUUCAUCCCUAAUAGUAUAAGAAAUGACCUUUGCUCUUCCUUGCCAGUAGAAGACCUUACCUAGGCUCCUCUUGCCUGCCUCCUGCUUCCUUUCCUGCCUCUCUUCUCUCUUUUACAAUCCAGAAAAUGAGGAAAUACUAAGAUAAUGCCUCUGAUUUUUGAUAAAAAUAUAGGAGCGUUUUCUUGUAACCCCAUAUGCAGAUUUCCUCCUGCUUCACCAGGGUAAGUGUAAUGGUUCAUGGUAAUUGUAAUUAUGGCUCUCCUAUUAACCUGGACUUUUCUUCUCUUUUCACUUUGCGAAUGAUACGACCUUCAGUUGAUCUGUGUCCUCUAAAACAGUUUGAAGAUUUCUUUCAACAUUAUCUUCCAGGAGAAGGAACAGAAACUCUGUGAAGUCCCAGCAGAUGAUCCCUGCUGCCGUUGAUUGUGAAAGGACAAUAUUCAGGUACCAGAGAACACAAAAAACCUCAGACGGCCUCUCUUGGGCAGGUUUGGGGUCAUGUGGGAUGUGGUUGUAUUGCUUUUGUGCACGAUAAAAUAAUCUGCUACUCGUUUUGAU